UAGGGAAUCUUGCGCAAUGGGCGAAAGCCUGACGCAGCGACGCCGCGUGAGGGAUGACGGCUUUCGGGUUGUAAACCUCUUUCAGCAGGGACGAAGCCUCACGGUGACGGUACCUGCAGAAGAAGCCCCGGCUAACUACGUGCCAGCAGCCGCGGUAAUACGUAGGGGGCAAGCGUUAUCCGGAUUUAUUGGGCGUAAAGCGCGCGUAGGCGGCCGACCACGUCGGAUGUGAAAGCUCAGGGCUCAACCCUGAGAGGCCAUUCGAUACGGGUCGGCUAGAGGCAGGUAGGGGAGAAUGGAAUUCCUGGUGUAGCGGUGAAAUGCGCAGAUAUCAGGAGGAACACCGGUGGCGAAGGCGGUUCUCUGGGCCUGUUCUGACGCUGAGGUGCGAAAGCUGGGGGAGCAAACAGG
rnacentral:rRNA from 1 species